GACGAACGCUGGCGGCGUGCCUAAUACAUGCAAGUCGAACGCAGUGGGGACGGGUGAGUAACACGUGGGUAACCUCCCAUCAGAGGGGAUAACACUUGGAAACAGGUGCUAAACCGAUACUGAUAGAUGGACCCGCGGUGCAUUAGCUAGUUGGUGAGGUAACGGCUCACCAAGGCCACGAUGCAUAGCCGACCUGAGAGGGUGAUCGGCCACACUGGAACUGAGACACGGCCCAGACGCCUACGUGAGGCAGCAGUAGGGAAUCUUGCGCAAUGGACGAAAGUCUGACGGAGCAACGCCGCGUGAGUGAAGAAGGUUUUCGGUUCGUAAAACUCUGUUGUUGGAGAAGCGGUAUCUAACCAGAAAGCCACGGCUAACUACGGGCCAGCCGCCGCGGUAAUUC
rnacentral:rRNA from 1 species